CCUACGGAGUGCAGCAGUGGGGAAUAUUGCACAAUGGGGGAAACCCUGAUGCAGCGACGCCGCGUGAGUGAAGAAGUAAUUCGUUAUGUAAAGCUCUAUCAGCAGGGAAGAAAAUGACGGUACCUGAGUAAGAAGCCCCGGCUAACUACGUGCCAGCAGCCGCGGUAAUACGUAGGGGGCAAGCGUUAUCCGGAUUUACUGGGUGUAAAGGGAGCGUAGACGGCUGUGCAAGCCUGAAGUGAAAGGCGGGGGCCCAACCCCUGGACUGCUUUGGGAACUGUACGGCUGGAGUGCAGGAGAGGUAAGUGGAAUUCCUAGGGUAGCGGUGAAAUGCGUAGAGAUUAGGAGGAACACCAGUGGCGAAGGCAGCUUACCAAGCUACUUCUGACGUUGAGGCACGAAAGCGUGGGGAGCAAACAGGAUUAGAUACCCCGGUAGUC
rnacentral:rRNA from 1 species